AUUAGUUCCAGACACUUGAUCUUUGAGCAUUAGCCAAUAAACAAUUACACCGUGUUUUAAGUUGUGUUUAUCUUGUUUGCAGAGUCACCAUCUGGCAAAGAAUAUCCAAGGAAAAGAGACCCAGAGAGGGACGAUUACAGAACCAGCAUUGCAAGAAGAUUGUUGCAGACCGUGUAAAUGUUCAGUCUGAAGAUCCUGAUGCGCAUUACAGAAAUAGCAAAGCUGAGAAUGUGUGCUGCGUGAUUGCCUUUUCCUACACCAAAGAGUUUGCCUAAGCAAGUAGCUUCCAUCUCCUGCUCAGCUUGGUUUCUUUUUGUCUAGCAAGAGCGUGAGGGACAGCCGUGAGCAGCAGCUUUCUUACUGCCUGUCAAGGACAGAACGAAGCACUCGCCUUCCUGGCCACUGAGAAACCAGAUAAAAGAGUGACUUGAAACAGAGCCAGUCAAAUGGGGAGCUAAAUAAUCUCCCCGAUGGAAUUUCAGCACAUGAGGCGGCUCGAGUCAGCUCUUUUGGUGAGGUAGGUCUGCAGCACGUGGCUCCAGACUGGGAGAAUCACAGAUGUGGGUUUCCAAAGGAAGGGAGUUCUGUUUGUAUUUCCUCCUCUUUGCUCCUCCACCUGCCUUAUCCCAUUAGACCCCGGUUUCGUGCCACUUCACUGCUACUUCUGUUGGCCUGGUGUACCUGUGGACUGGAGAUGGGACACUACGCCACCUGCUGAGGAGGGCCCAGAGAGGUGGUUAUAUUUUUAACCCAACGAGUUUUUCCAUCCAAUUCAUCAUGUUUCAACAGAGGGACCUGGACUGACAGAAUGCAGAGAGUGUAGGAAAGCAACUUAAACUAACAUUUCUUUUUAAUACUGCUUUUGUUUUCUAGCAACCCCUUGACCGCAUGUUGGGUUAAGAGAGAAAGAAGGUGUCAUGGUCUUCUUGGGAAACACAAGGUCCCAGAACCACAGCAGGGAAUGAGGAAGUUGACAUUUUGCCAUGACUGGCUUCUACCUUGUCCAAUAAUUCUCUUAGAAUCACCAACACAUCACAAAUAAUAUGAUACUAUAUUUGCUUUCUUGAUGAAAGUCUAAGGGUCUAAUGUGUCUCGGGUAAAAUGCUGGUAGAAACAUAUCCGUUGUUCCUUGUUUAUUAAGUUUCUUACUUGUUCAGUUCUAGCUGUUAGUAUGUGGUUUCUUCAAACUGUUUAGCGUCUUAUAAAGUAUCUGGAAGCUUCUUAGGGAUAUCAGUGUAGCAUCAAGAAUUACUCUCUGCCACAAAAAUUUCAUGGAAGGGGAACAAUUACUAUCAAUCCGCUUAAGAUUUCUCUAGAAGAGAACAAAGCUGGGGAAAAGCACUUAUCUUUAUCAAAUCUUAUAACCAAACACAAGAUCUACUUUGACAAUGAAAUUAAGUUUGUUCUAUAAAUAUUGACUGGUAUUACUGAUAGCUUAUUAUUUGCUUCUUUAUUGACUGAGUCCUGGAUUGGGGUUUGCUUGUUUUGGUUAUUGGGGUUUUUUUUGUCCAAGACUGUUGUCAGGCUACAUUUACAGUUUCGUGGAAGAGUGGAGGACUCAGGCUGCUAAAAUUUAUUUCCUUGGCCUGCUUUUCCAUAAGGCUUAAUACAAAUUAUAUGUAGUUUUGAAUUAAAAAAAAAAAAAAAAGAAAACCAAAAAUAAAAAUAAAAAGAAAAAGAAAAAGAAAAAGAAA
rnacentral:lncRNA from 1 species